rnacentral:rRNA from 1 species
UACGUAGGGGGCAAGCGUUGUCCGGAAUUAUUGGGCGUAAAGCGCGCGCAGGCGGUUUCUUAAGUCCGGUGUAUAAGCCUGGGGCUCAACCCCGGGAGGCACGGGAAACUGGGAGGCUUGAGUGCAGAAGAGGAGAGUGGAAUUCCACGUGUAGCGGUGAAAUGCGUAGAGAUGUGGAGGAACACCAGUGGCGAAGGCGACUCUCUGGUCUGUAACUGACGCUGAGGCGCGAAAGCGUGGGGAGCAAACAGG